AAAGAAAGAGGGAGGUAUGAUUAACACAUGCAAGUCGAACGAGACCUUCGGGUCUAGUGGCGCACGGGUGCGUAACGCGUGGGAACCUGCCCGUAGGUUCGGAAUAACUCCCCGAAAGGGGUGCUAAUACCGGAUAAUGUCUUCGGACCAAAGAUUUAUCGCCUUUGGAUGGGCCCGCGUUGGAUUAGCUAGUUGGUAGGGUAAAAGCCUACCAAGGCGACGAUCCAUAGCUGGUCUGAGAGGAUGAUCAGCCACACUGGGACUGAGACACGGCCCAGACUCCUACGGGAGGCAGCAGUGGGGAAUAUUGGACAAUGGGCGAAAGCCUGAUCCAGCAAUGCCGGGUGAGUGAUGAAGGCCUUAGGGUUGUAAAGCUCUUUUACCCGGGAUGAUAAUGACAGUACCGGGAGAAUAAGCUCCGGCUAACUCCGUG
rnacentral:rRNA from 1 species